GCCCGGGCGAGAGCGCGUGAGGGCGUGGAGCUGGGAGUGAGGACCUGUUCACCUGCUCCCCCGCGCCACCGGAGAACACUCUGGCGUCCGCUUAGUUGAGCCCCGAAGCGCUGACCAGUUUCUGGCCCCCAGCCCUGGCCAGUUUCACGUCCGUUCACGGUCUGAGCUCUCAGAUUCCCCUCUGAGGUCCGCGGGUCUGUUCUCCCGCCUGCACUGUCCCGGGUCACCGCCCCCCUGCCCCGGGCACCCUGCCCCCCAGCUCGUGCCGGCCGCGCCCACUUGGCCGCACUGUCGCCUCCGAUCCGGGCUCGGCAGCGGAUCUGGGCAGGCAGACCGGUCGACCCCAAGGAGGACGGGAAGGAGGGGUUCCCCCGCGCGCGCCCCGCCUCUCCACGCCCAGCCCCGCACCUCCCCACCUUGCGCGCCCAGCCGGGUCUAGGCUUUCCUUCCGGGGAAAGAGAAAAGGUCCCGGCUCGGCCGCCUCCUCUUAAAGGGGCAGCACCGCCCCUCCCUCUCCAUCCUCCCUAACCCUGCUCCGCCCUCUCCCCCAAACACCUGUCCGGAGCCCCCGAAGGCUUGGAUUACCCCUCCCCGCCCCUUGUUUCUCCCGAGAAGCGUCGCCUCCCGAGCAAGAUGGAUUGGACGGGCGGGGCCGGGGGUGGGAUUUGUCCCGCUGCUUUGCUGCGGAGGCUACAGCUGCUGGAAAGGCCGUUCCGGACGCGGCCACCUCUGUGGGUCCGGCUGGAGAGGCCCGGCGUUGGCGCAUCUGGGAGCCGACAUCCGCAAGCCACUGGCUGGAAUGCCCUCGCCUCCGCCGCGCUGUGAGCCCCUGCGAGAAGGUCACCCUUUGUGCAUAACCAUUCUCCUCCAUGCUGAUGACCCCCACCCAAGCACCUCCAGGCUCCAGCCUUGAUGUUCAACUCUUGCCAGUCACCUCCAGCUGGCCACCCACAGGCUUCCCAGAUUCUGAGCGUCCAGAACUGACUCAGCACCUCCGCCUUGUCCCCACAGCCUGCUCCCCUGUAACAGCCUCUGUCGCGGUGCCUUGCCCCCGG
rnacentral:lncRNA from 1 species